UUUCCGUAGGUGAACCUGCGGAAGGAUCAUUAAAAAAUAUCGCUCGAUUGAGAGUGAUUUAAUAAUCAUCCUACCCUUUGUGAAUUUGUUGUUUGAAAUAAUUUUUUUUGAUUUUAAAAAAAAAUUAUUUAUGGUUUUGUCUAUCCCUAAAUUGGUUUGUUGUGUAGAAAGUGAAUCAAUUUAGGGAAUAGGCUUUCAUAAAUAAGUUUUUUUUAAAGUCUUAAAGACCUUUUUUAAAAUUAAACUUUUGUAUUCAUUUGUCUAAAUUUUUUUUUAAAUAAUUUAAAAACAACUUUUGACAAUGGAUCUCUUGGCUCUCGCAACGAUGAAGAACGCAGCAAAAUGCGAUAAGUAAUGUGAAUUGCAGAAUACGUGAAUCAUCAGAUCUUCGAACGCAUAUUGCACUUUUUUAGUUUACUAAAAAAGUAUGUCUGUUUGAGUAUCAGUAAAAUAUUCUCAUAAAAACAUUUUUGUUUUUAUGGUUAUGAGUGUUUUACAACGAUAAACAAGUUGUUUCACUUUAAAUUCAUUUUAAUUUAAGACCUUAUGGUUUUAAUAAUUAAAAUUGGAUAAAAUUUUCCCGUAAAAAGGAAUAAACUUUUCAGUUUUAGUUAGAGAAAUCUCGGUCCGAUUUUAAAAGGAAAUUUAUUUUAAAUAACUUGAUCUCAAAUCAGAUAAGAGUACCCGCUGAACUUAAGCAUAUCAAUAAGCGGAGGAAAAGAAACUAACAAGGAUUCCCUUAGUAACGGCGAGUGAAGCGGGAAGAGCUCAAAUUUGAAAUCUUCAAGGUUCUACCUUGACGAAUUGUAGUUUAAAGAAGUGUUUUCUGUUAGAUGAGUGGCAAAAGUUCCUUGGAAUGGGACAUCAUAGAGGGUGAGAAUCCCGUAUUUGGUUAUUCAUUCUAGCUUUGUGAUACACUUUCAAAGAGUCGGAUUGUUUGGGAAUGCAGUCCAAAAUGGGUGGUAAAUUUCAUCUAAAGCUAAAUAUUGGCGAGAGACCGAUAGCGAACAAGUACCGUGAGGGAAAGAUGAAAAGAACUUUGAAAAGAGAGUUAAACAGUACGUGAAAUUGUCAAAAGGGAAGCGUUUGACACCAGUGUUGUUUUUCCGAAAAUCAAUUACGAAUGGCUUGAUUUUGUGUUGUAUUGACCUUAUCAGCUUUCUUCACUUUUUCGAGUCUUUCUUAAUGCACUUUUCGGUUAACAAGUCAACAUCAAUUUCUUUUGUUGUAAAAGAGUAUUCGGAAGGUGGCUUUCUUUUCGGAGAAAGUGUUUAUAGCCCUAUACUUCUACAAUCGGAGAGAUUGAGGUCUGCAGCGUAGAUCCUUCGGGGUUAGAUACAUUUGUGCUAAGUUGUAGCUUUUCAUAGACAACUUGUUGACUAUGUUUAGUCAUGCGGCUUACUCGCUUAUGCUAUUU
rnacentral:misc_RNA from 1 species